rnacentral:rRNA from 1 species
GACGAACGCUGGCGGCGUGCUUAACACAUGCAAGUCGAACGGAAAGGCCCCAGCUUGCUGGGGUACUCGAGUGGCGAACGGGUGAGUAACACGUGGGUGAUCUGCCCUGCACUCUGGGAUAAGCCUGGGAAACUGGGUCUAAUACCGGAUAGGACCGUGCUUUAGUGUGUGCGGUGGAAAGUUUUUCGGUGCAGGAUGAGCCCGCGGCCUAUCAGCUUGUUGGUGGGGUAAUGGCCUACCAAGGCGGCGACGGGUAGCCGGCCUGAGAGGGUGUACGGCCACAUUGGGACUGAGACACGGCCUAGACUCCUACGGGAGGCAGCAGUGGGGAAUAUUGCACAAUGGGCGCAAGCCUGAUGCAGCGACGCCGCGUGGGGGAUGACGGCCUUCGGGUUGUAAACCCCUUUCGGCAGGGACGAAGCUUUUGUGACGGUACCUGCAUAAGAAGCACCGGCUAACUACGUG